GUAUUCAAAUUGUCCUAUGUUGAACUUUUUGCCCUCACGAUGCCAUUGAUAUUCAACCGAAUGUUAGAUAAACGUUUCUGUCGGUACAUUUAGCUGGGCGCCAUGUUGAUCCUAUUCUCUAUAUGCCCUUGGUGAAAACAAUUUCUUGGUGACUUCCCUUCGCUUUACAUGGAGAAGUUCCGAGCUCGGGACGGUUGAAGUACAUGCCAAUGUACUAUACAAUUUCUAUACGACGCUUUCCACAGUACUUGCUUUUGAGAAGAAAGUUGGGAUCUUGAAACCAACGUAUGGCAUCUUCGCCAUCUUUUAUUUCAAACAUUAAACGCUGACGGAUCUAUUUUCAUAUU
rnacentral:misc_RNA from 1 species